rnacentral:tRNA from 1 species
GACCCUGUGGUGUAGUGAUUGCAUUGUUGUCUCUUAAUAAGAUGGUUUAGGUUCAAUUCCUGGUGGGGUCA